rnacentral:rRNA from 1 species
GACGAACGCUGGCGGCGUGCCUAAUACAUGCAAGUAGAACGCUGAAGCUUGGUGCUUGCCCCGAGCGGAUGAGUUGCGAACGGGUGAGUAACGCGUAGGUAACCUGCCUGGUAGCGGGGGAUAACUAUUGGAAACGAUAGCUAAUACCGCAUAAGAGUAGAUGUUGCAUGACAUUUGCUUAAAAGGUGCAAUUGCAUCACUACCAGAUGGACCUGCGUUGUAUUAGCUAGUUGGUGAGGUAACGGCUCACCAAGGCAACGAUACAUAGCCGACCUGAGAGGGUGAUCGGCCACACUGGGACUGAGACACGGCCCAGACUCCUACGGGAGGCAGCAGUAGGGAAUCUUCGGCAAUGGACGGAAGUCUGACCGAGCAACGCCGCGUGAGUGAAGAAGGUUUUCGGAUCGUAAAGCUCUGUUGUAAGAGAAGAACGAGUGCGAGAGUGGAAAGUUCACACUGUGACGGUAUCUUACCAGAAAGGGACGGCUAACUACGUG